GGGUGGGGCCUGCAGAGCGGU
rnacentral:misc_RNA from 1 species